rnacentral:rRNA from 1 species
UACGUAGGGUGCGAGCGUUAAUCGGAAUUACUGGGCGUAAAGCGUGCGUAGGCGGUUCGUUAAGUGCGUCGUGAAAGCCCCGGGCUCAACCUGGGAAUGGCGAUGGAAACUGGCGGGCUGGAGUAUGGCAGAGGGGGGUGGAAUUCCGCGUGUAGCAGUGAAAUGCGUAGAGAUGCGGAGGAACACCGAUGGCGAAGGCGACACGCUGGGUCAUACCUGACGCUAAAACGCGACAGCAUGGGGAGCGAACGGG